GAUGAACGCUGGCGGCGUGCUUAACACAUGCAAGUCGAACGGAAAGGCUCCUCCUUGCCGGGGCACUCGAGUGGCGAACGGGUGAGUAACACGUGUGUGAUCUGCCCUGCACUUGGGGAUAAGCCUGGGAAACUGGGUCUAAUACCGGAUAGGACGAGGGUUUGGAUGGUUUUGUGGAAAGUUUUUCGGUGUGGGUUGAGCCCGCGGCCUACCAGCUUGUUGGGGGGGUAAUGGCCUACCAAGGCGUCGACGGGUGGCCGGCCUUAGGAGGUGUACGGGCAAAUUGGGACCGGGGUGACGCCCAGACACCUGAGGGGGGCCACAGGGGGGAAAAAUGGAAGAAGGGGGCGAAGCUGAAGCAAGGGACCCGGGGGGGGGAUGACGGGCUUCGGGUUGUAAACACCUUUCGGAAGGGACGAAACGUUUUGUGACGGUACCUGGAGAAGAAGCACCGGCUAACUACGUG
rnacentral:rRNA from 1 species